rnacentral:rRNA from 1 species
UAACAGCCCACCAAGGCGACGAUCAGUAGCCGACCUGAGAGGGUGACCGGCCACAUUGGGACUGAGACACGGCCCAAACUCCUACGGGAGGCAGCAGUGGGGAAUAUUGCACAAUGGGGGGAACCCUGAUGCAGCAACGCCGCGUGAAGGAAGACGGUUUUCGGAUUGUAAACUUCUAUCAAUAGGGAAGAAAGAAAUGACGGUACCUAAAUAAGAAGCCCCGGCUAACUACGUGCCAGCAGCCGCGGUAAUACGUAGGGGGCAAGCGUUAUCCGGAAUUACUGGGUGUAAAGGGAGAGUAGGCGGCAAGGUAAGCGAUAUGUGAAAGCCUUAGGCUUAACCUGAGGAUUGCAUAACGAACUAUCUAGCUAGAGUACAGGAGAGGAAAGCGGAAUUCCUAGUGUAGCGGUGAAAUGCGUAGAUAUUAGGAAGAACACCAGUGGCGAAGGCGGCUUUCUGGACUGAAACUGACGCUGAGGCUCGAAAGCGUGGGGAGCGAACAGGAUUAGAUACCCUGGUAGUCCACGCUGUAAAAGAUGAGUGCUAGGUGUCGGGGAGGAAUCCUCG